rnacentral:rRNA from 1 species
GACGAACGCUGGCGGCGUGCCUAAUACAUGCAAGUUGAGCGAUGAAGCUUGGUGCUUGCGCCAAUUUGAAGAGCAGCGAACGGGUGAGUAACGCGUGGGGAAUCUGCCUUUGAGCGGGGGACAACAUUUGGAAACGAAUGCUAAUACCGCAUAAUAACUUUAAACAUAAGUUUUAAGUUUGAAAGAUGCAAUUGCAUCACUCAAAGAUGAUCCCGCGUUGUAUUGGCUAGUUGGUGAGGUAAAGGCUCACCAAGGCGAUGAUACAUAGCCGACCUGAGAGGGUGAUCGGCCACAUUGGGACUGAGACACGGCCCAAACUCCUACGGGAGGCAGCAGUAGGGAAUCUUCGGCAAUGGACGAAAGUCUGACCGAGCAACGCCGCGUGAGUGAAGAAGGUUGUCGGAUCGUAAAACUCUGUUGGUAGAGAAGAACGUUGGUGAGAGUGGAAAGCUCAUCAAGUGACGGUAACUACCCAGAAAGGGACGGCUAACUACGUG